GACGAACGCUGGCGGCGUGCUUAACACAUGCAAGUCGAACGGAAAGGCCCAGCUUGCUGGGUACUCGAGUGGCGAACGGGUGAGUAACACGUGGGUGAUCUGCCCUGCACUCUGGGAUAAGCCUGGGAAACUGGGUCUAAUACCGGAUAUGACCGACUGUCGCAUGGUGGUUGGUGGAAAGCUUUUGUGGUGUGGGAUGGGCGCGCGGCCUAUCAGCUUGUUGGUGGGGUAAUGGCCUACCAAGGCGACGGCGCGUAGCCGACCUGAGCGGGUGGUCGGACACACUGGGACUGGGAUACGGCACAGACUCAUACGGGAGGCGGCGGUGGGGAAUAUAGCACUAUGGGCGGAAGCCUAAUGCAGCGAAGCCGCGUGGGGGAUGACGGCAAUCGGGUUGUAAACCACUUUCCCCAGAGACGAAGCGUGAGUGACGGUACCUGGAGAAGAAGCACCGGCCAACUACGUG
rnacentral:rRNA from 1 species